GGACACUAAAAUUAUUGCAUAGACACAUGCAUAUGUAUGUAUGUAUGUGUGUAUGUAUUGUAUAUUCUAGCAACCAUACUUGUUGUAAUCGUUAGUGGGAGAUCAUGCACCUCUAAUUGCCAGCAAUUCACCCUAAAAAUUAAUGUCACUGCAGAUCAGCGUUGCGGGCCAGCAAUCCGCUUUGGCUGUCCACCGGGCGGUGUGUGGAGCUGAGUUCAGCGAAAGGACAAAAGUUCACUUGCAGAUCACUUUAAAUUAGAAAGCUGCUCCGGUUGACCAAGCUGCUGACGCUGAUUGGCACCAACACAAAUUCAUUGUGUUUCACACUUAUUUAUUAAUUGGCCACAAGUUGUUUAUAUAAAUAAAUGAAUUAUUUAUUUGUUGUUUGUUUAAAAAUGGCAGCGAUUAUACAAGUAUGUAUGUAUGUGGCUUAUCUGUGCAAAAUGGCACUAACCGUGUAAACAAUAUUGUGAGAGUUAUCGCUAAAAGCAAAUUAAUAAUAAAGUAUAUAAGUGAUUACAACAGUGUAUUCCAUGAAGAUUUUACAACAAAAUCGCAUUUGCAUCAUAUUUUUCACAUUUUCAACACUAAUUGUAGAAUGUGUAAAUUCAGGUCAAAAACUGGGAAUUAUAAAGCAACGGGACGAACAAAGUGUCGCAAUUAGAAGCAGCAUUGUGAUUUACCGCUUAGGCAUAUAUGUGUAUACAUACAAGUAUAUAUGUAUAUUCCAUUAUCACAUAUAUAUAUUUGAACAUUUUAAUAAUAUAUCAAAUUUAUUGAGUUGAAUUGCAAAAAAAACUAUAGUUACCUCUGCGUAUUGAUUUUUAUGUACAAUAUAUGCAUAUGUAUAUAACAAUUUAUAUACCUACAUAUAUAUAGUUUACGAAAUCGCGGAACCAAUUUAGUUUAAAUUUAAAUGCUAAACAUAAGUGCUUAUUUAAUUUCUAUAGCUUUAUUUGCGUGUUGAAGUGGGCUGGAAGUAGUUUUCACGAAUAAUUGUUGUGCACACGAAAAUAAACGAAGAAUCUAAAGCAUAUAAUUUAUUUAUUACACUCAAAGAUUAGAAAAAUAUCAGAAAGAGGUCAGCUGACCUCACAUUUUAAACUGUAGCUUAUCGCGCUAUAUUCGUUGAAUCUAUUCUACAAAUAUCGCUUAUCUCUAAGAUUGUGCUGAAUUUAUUUUAGACCGUUUUUUACUGCAGUGAUUUGUAUAUUCGUCGAAAAUGUGUGCUUACACAUUCUCAAGAGCACUUCCUAAACGAAUUUAACGAAGCAAGUGAGUUGGUCGUAAUAUUUUUUUAAUACAUACAUAUAUACAUAAGCGCAAAAAUUCUCAUGAAUUGUACUGAUGGUGUGUCGAAAAACCAAAAUUUUAAGUCAAAAAUAAUGUGGCGCAUGGUUUUUCGCAUUUUCCUAACGCAAUAUGUACGUAUCUUGUAGAAAGCGCGGUUGUUCGUUGCGAAAAAUGAAAUAGAUUACGAAAAAGCGUUUGAUUUUAGCUUAUCAAUGGAGCAUACUUUGAUUUUCACCGUUGCCACUAUAAAGUUAAGUCUUCUAAACACGCAUAAAAGCAUAUGUAUGUGGAAUGCCACAUUUAUUAUAUAUACCUUUACCGAAGUAGACGAACGAUGAGCAUUCCGUGGAAGACCAAUCGGCCAAUUCUUCAUCUCAUACACCACUUAGAUUAUGAGGCCGAGCAGAUGUCACUUCGGCAAGGGAAUCGUCUCGUUUUUUCUAUUACGAGACUAAAAUAUGCAUACACAUAAUUAUGAAAACCUUUUUGUUGCUGCUAUUGUUGUGGAUUGCCUUCUUUCAUUUGACUACAAACCAUAAUUUAUCUUCGCAAAACAUGCUAAAAUCGUUGGUCAGUUGCACAAUAAAUGCUGCGUCAAGGAUUAUUGAUUAUGCAAAGUGCCUGGACAAAGGGAUUUUUACAAGAAUAGGACAACCCGCAAGACAGAUCGGCCUUAAGCGCGGCAAAGCAAAUCAAGCCAACAACUGGCCGCAAAGUCAUGGGACAGCAUUCUAAAAGGGUUGCCGUAAUUGGGGGUUGUUAGCUUUCAAGUCCGCGUUAUACCUGAAGGGAAUCUCAAAUUUCGUCCUCCAUGGUGGUAGCUAGGGAUAGCUGUCAAACUGACCACUGGCGAUCGCCGUGUUUGCCAGCUUACAUUUCGUCAAAGCGUGUGUUUUGAGUUAUUAGAAGGAUAAUGUUUCUUGACGUUUGCCGUCAAUGAAAUACACGCGAAUGGAAAAUACUAUGCUUACUGCUUUGAGACUAGGAAGCGCUCACUUAAUCAUGCUGACGGCUGCAUAUAUGUAUUGUAUAUAAGUUGGUACGUAAUACUUCUUGAACUGGUUAUGGCAUCGUGUGAGCGAAAGCAUACAUCUAAUGAGAACGCUUACACAGAUGGCUCAUAAAUCCUGUAUGCGAAAAAAGUUGACUGACCAUAAUUACAUUUACCGCUGACCUAAAGCUCCAAGCCUGGAAUGAUAUUUCUUCGUUAACAUACGUGGAAUAAGGAUUUCAUAUAUUUUAAGAAGCUUACCACAAACUAAACUAUUAUAUACAAUAUUUCGGUAACAAUCUGUUUAUUGCUAGAUUUUAUGGCUCCAAUGUGAUUUUAUCUCAACAUUAAAUAGUAGUGUAGUGCAUUUAAAUCAA